rnacentral:rRNA from 1 species
GACCUGGCUGGGCGGUCCGUUUAACAGCGUGUACUGCUCGGCUGGGCCUUACUUCUUGGUGAGCCGGUGUGCCCUUUAUUGGUGUGCAUCGGGGAACCAGGACUUUUACCUUGAGAAAAUUAGAGUGUUCAAAGCAGGCCGAUGCCUGAAUACAUUAGCAUGGAAUAAUAAAAUAGGACG